rnacentral:lncRNA from 1 species
UGCAUCCAUGCAGCGCGGCUGACACAGAAGAACGUACGCUGCUUGCAAUCAGCUCAUAUUCUCCAAAAUGGUUCUACUGUGAUGCGGAGAGACACAGAGGAGACAAAUUGUUGAAUGAAGUCAUUAUUUAUAUUUUCUUUGGUGUACAAAAAUUAUUCUCAUCAUUUCAUAAAAUUAUGGUUGAACCACUGAUGGCAGAUUGACUAUUCUGAUGAUGUCUUUCAUUCUUUUCUGGACCUAAGUGUAAUUUACUUGGCAGUCUAUGGAACAGUCACAAGCCUCCCGGUUUUCAUCCAAAAUAUCUUUAACUGUAUUCCAAAGAAGGACAAAGGUUUUACGGGUUUGGAACGACAUGGGGGUAAGUGAUUAACGGGGUCAUAUGAUGCAAUUUCAAGUUUUCCUUUCUCUUUAGUGUUACAAGCUCUUGGUGCAUAAAGAAGAUCUGUUAAUUUGCAAAGACUAAAGUCUCAACCCCAAAGAGAUGUUCUUUAUAAAAGUUAAGACUUGUCCAAGCACCUCCUAAAACGCCUCGUUUAAACACACCCCUACGUCACGAUGUGGGAAGAUCUGCAUAACACCGCCCAAAUGUUCACGCAAAGAAAGAAGGCGUAACCUUUGAUUUUCGCUGUUGCCGCAGGCGCCAUGUCAUGGACAUGCCGUUUCAUUGUGAAAGCGAAAAUACUUUGUUUGGCCUUCCAAAAGAGGACAUAACUAGAAAUCUUGUAUUUACAACACUGAUCUGGAACAAUGAAACCAAAAUAUACAGAUGUGUGCAGCACAUUUUAUGGAGGACUGUUUCCUGAUCCUGAAAGAGUAGUCUACAAUGCCGGCUGUUCUGACUCAGUCUGGAAGUACGUUUACAUACGUAAAGGAUUUGCCACUGAUGAUUCAAACUCGAGUUCUGAGCAGUGUAGAGCAGCGGUUCUCAAUUCCAGUCCUCGCUGGUGUUGUGCUCUUUGUUUGUCAUUUCUCUGAUCACAAAUGCAGACAUUGUUUUAUGUUUACAUGGCAGACAUGGUUUUAUGUGGCAAGUAGCUGUGUAAUAAGCUUCGCGCAGGGGUCCUGAUCACCCUGUCUGGGUUUAUUCUGAGAUAACAAUCGGCUGGAUGUACAUUAUAAAAGCCCAGUGAAACAGCUCCAUAUUUAUAUCAGAUGUGCUGCAAGAUUGUUUUAUCGAGAAAAAAAAAAAACAAAACAUAUAGCUGUUUUCAAGGGUUUUCCAGGACUUAAACUGAGAGCAGCGUUCGUACAAGGUGCUUAAAGUACUUGAAUUUGACUUUUUGAAAUUAAGUUACCUAUGUCUGACGCUGUCCAGAUCUUACACACCUGAAUUCAGGAAAGCAAAGCACAUGGUAGAUAUGAUGAAAGUAGAAAAAAAAACAGAAAGGCCAUCUCCAUCUUCAGUCACUACUUUUCCUGCUUCCUGUGGCACAAAAAGAAACCGUAAUCAAUAUUGCAGUAAAAGAUGACCAUAAGUUUCAUUUCUUUAG